rnacentral:rRNA from 1 species
CCCUUAGAUGUUCUGGGCCGCACGCGCGCUACACUGAAGGGAUCAGCGUGUUUUCCCUUUCCGAGAGGAACGGGUAACCCGCUGAACCCCCUUCGUGGUAGGGAUCGGAGCUUGCAAUUGUUCUCCGUGAACCAGGAAUUCCCAGUAAGCGCAAGUCAUAAGCUUGCGUUGAUUACGUCCCUGCCCUUUGUACACACCGCCCGUCGCUACUACUGAUUGAACGUUUUAGUGAGGUAUUUGGACUGGGCCUUGGGAGGUUUCGGCCUCCCUUGUUGCUCGGAAAGACUCCCAAACUUGAGCGUUUAGAGGAAGUAAAAGUCGUAACA